rnacentral:rRNA from 2 species
GAUGAACGCUGGCGGCGUGCCUAAUACAUGCAAGUCGAACGAGUUCUCGUUGAUGAUCGGUGCUUGCACCGAGAUUCAACAUGGAACGAGUGGCGGACGGGUGAGUAACACGUGGGUAACCUGCCCUUAAGUGGGGGAUAACAUUUGGAAACAGAUGCUAAUACCGCAUAGAUCCAAGAACCGCAUGGUUCUUGGCUGAAAGAUGGCGUAAGCUAUCGCUUUUGGAUGGACCCGCGGCGUAUUAGCUAGUUGGUGAGGUAAUGGCUCACCAAGGCGAUGAUACGUAGCCGAACUGAGAGGUUGAUCGGCCACAUUGGGACUGAGACACGGCCCAAACUCCUACGGGAGGCAGCAGUAGGGAAUCUUCCACAAUGGACGCAAGUCUGAUGGGGCAACGCCGCGUGAGUGAAGAAGGCUUUCGGGUCGUAAAACUCUGUUGUUGGAGAAGAAUGGUCGGCAGAGUAACU